UUGUAUUGGUGUUGUCAAAGGAAGGUGUUGGUGUAGUCAGUGUUGUAUUGGUGUUGUCAAGGAAGGUGUUGGUGUAGUCAGUGUUGUAUUGGUGUUGUAAAGGAAGGUGUAGGUGUGCUCAGUGUUGUAUUGGUGU